UACGAAGGGGGCUAGCGUUGCUCGGAAUCACUGGGCGUAAAGCGCACGUAGGCGGCUUUCUAAGUCAGAGGUGAAAUCCCGGAGCUCAACUCCGGAACUGCCUUUGAUACUGGAAAGCUUGAGUCCGGGAGAGGUGAGUGGAACUGCGAGUGUAGAGGUGAAAUUCGUAGAUAUUCGCAAGAACACCAGUGGCGAAGGCGGCCCACUGGCCCGGUACUGACGCUGAGGUGCGAAAGCGUGGGGAGCAAACAGG
rnacentral:rRNA from 1 species